UGGGAAGGCCCUGGCGCUGCAUCAGAUGAGCAGGGCCUGGCAGGGACAAGCCUCUUCUCCUUUGGGAAGCCCUGCAGCCUCCUAGCAAGAGGCUGAUUCCCCACUCUGCCCCCAUCUGAAUGUCCUUUUCAUGUUGCACGCAGGGAACCUCAGGAAGGAGGAUUGCCUGAUGCCUGCCUGGCUCCAUCCUUGAGCUCUGGGCACCACCUAGGGUGAGGGAGAGCCUGCAGCUCUGGGGCUAAGUCUGCCCUGGGGGGAAAGGGCUCCACGCUCACACGCACGCGCUCGCACACACACACUCACACCUGGACGCACACGGAGGCUUGCGGACCCAUACUCACAGGCACAUGUGGCCUGGGGACUGGGGGAGCAGGAAAGACCCCUCCAACAUUUGGCCCUUGGAAGGCACCAUUGCCAAUGAGCCUCUUUGCUGGUUCCCCCGACCCCACCUGGGGGUCCCAUGGGAGCCCAGCCCAGCCAGGUGUGGGGAUGGGCCACCGGCCAUUCCUGUUUUCCUUGUACAGACAGAUUCUCACUACCCACCCGCCAUCCCCAGACACAUUUUAUUUAAUAACUUGUCAUUGUUAAAUUAUUUAUUAGCGUUUACCACACCACCACCCCCACCCUGCCCUCCACUCUCACCUUCCACCUCUUCCCACAACAGCAGAAAAUGGAAACAACAACAAAAAAAGAUGAGACAUCAGUAUAUUUGUAAAUAAACCGACCUGUACACUCC
rnacentral:lncRNA from 10 species